AUUGAACGCUGGCGGCAGGCCUAACACAUGCAAGUCGAGCGGAUGAAGAGAGCUUGCUCUCUGAUUUAGCGGCGGACGGGUGAGUAAUGCCUAGGAAUCUGCCUGGUAGCGGGGGAUAACGUCCGGAAACGGGCGCUAAUACCGCAUACGUCCUACGGGAGACAGCAGGGGACCUUCGGGCCUUGCGCUAUCAGAUGAGCCUAGGUCGGAUUAGCUAGUUGGUGAGGUAAUGGCUCACCAAGGCUACUCUCCGUAACUGGUCUGAGAGGAUGAUCAGUCACACUGGAACGGAGACACGGUCCAGACUCCUACGGGAGGCAGCAGUGGGGAAUAUUGGACAAUGGGCGAAAGCCUGAUCCAGCCAUGCCGCGUGUGUGAAGAAGGUCUUCGGAUUGUAAAGCACUUUAAGUUGGGAGGAAGGGCAGUAAGUUAAUACCUUGCUGUUUUGACGUUACCGACAGAAUAAGCACCGGCUAACUUCGUGCCAGCCGCCGCCGUAACAC
rnacentral:rRNA from 1 species